GUGCUCGCUUCGGCAGCACAUACACUAAAAUUGGAAUAAUACAGAGAAGAUUAGCAUGGUGCCUGCUCAAGGAUGACACGCACCUUUGUGAAGCGUUCCAUAUUUUU